GUACAGUCUAUGCCGCUACAGAUACGAGGCGACACAGGGGGCUGCUCUUAGAACUCACUCAUGUGGAUGACAGCUGGACUUCGGUGUGACAGAGACAGUAAAGAAUGAAGAGGAAGGGAACCACCAGCAGCUUUUCCCAGCCUAAAAGAAGAGAGGAGGAAGAGCAUCCCAGAGAGGAGAUGGAGGAGGAAGAGUUCAGAGAGAGAGAAAGAAAUGAAGGCAUGCAGAGCUGAGACAGUGAAAGACCAAAGAACUACAGACUCUUCACAACCUGCUCAAACUCUUGGUACAGGACCUCACCACACGGGUCAAGAAGGUUUCCGUCUCAUUUCUACUCUGAAGCUCACCUUCUCCAGCUCAAACUGCUGACAAAUGUUUCUGCUGCUCUAAAGUCUGGUCUCCAGAACUUCCUAAAAACUCUCAAAGUCUCUUCUGCUGCAGGCUGCUUUGUAGAACUGUUCCAGAAAACCUCACUAAACCACAUGGAGGGGCCUCAAGAUAGUCGUCCAAAUGAAACCAUACAAAAACCAAACUAGCACAACCCAAACGCUAAAGUUUCCUGCAGCCUACCAGAGAACCUCUUUAAACAGAGAAUCAGGACAGGAACUCUUACCUUCUGGACAACCAACGUUGGUUCACAAACAAGAAUACAGAAUGUGUCUGACCAAAAACCUCUGAAGACUCACUACAGCCAAGAUAAAGACACAACUCAGCUGCACCAUAUCCACUAAUCACUGCACACAUUAGCACCAUGUGCUAACUGUGGCUAAAGAACCACAUUUACCAAGACAACUAUCCAGUACAAAGCCCUAAAACACACCAAGAAACACAUUAAAGACAAUUUUACUGCUGGAAGCUGCAAGCCAACGCCUAAAGAACAAACUAAAGCAAUGGAGCCAAAGUGGUGAAGAGAAGCAGAGGAAAUGUUUGGCUGCAGCUAAAUAAAGCAGGAAGACACUGAGCUGCUCAGGUGUUCCUGAUAACACCAAGCAGCCACCUGGACAGCCAAUAGGAACACAGCUUACUGGAAGUCCAGAGGGCUGGCUUAGUGAAGGAAAUUUAGUUUAAAGUUGAAGCAGAAAGUAAACAAAGAAAGUUGAAAACCACCUUCUGAUACCUGAAAUCUCUGAGUUUUCACACAAAGAACACCUGAACAUGUCAAACUGGUUCCAUAGUAGAACCAUCAUUGUGAAAACGUCAUAGUAUGGUGUGUUGCUCAAAAAAUAUUACGACCCGGCUGUCAGGGGUUGCAGAGGAGCAACACAAAAACAGGACAAACGCUGGUUUCCAGGGGGUUAGGAGGCUAUUUAUUUGAAAGAGUAAGUUUACAACAACACAACAUGUGAGCAGAAAAAUCACAAAGUCUGUCUUUAGUUCAGCUGAAAAUAUUAGUUUUUCUCUUUUUUAUUGACCAAACUUUUCAGGAAGUAGAUGAAGAAUAAUUAAAGCUCUCAUGUAGUAGUCCAAUUUAUUUUGGAUCCUUAUGGAGAGUUUAAUCUUAGAAUUUGUAAAAAUGUUGAGGUUUUAGAGUCACAUGGAUUGUUUUGACAUUUAAUAACCGAGUCCUGAAAUAAAAUUAUAGUUGUGGAUUUCUGUCAUUUAGUCUGGACUAAACAAAUAACAGCAGCAUAAAUCUCAAAUGUCAUUAUGAGGAGUCUGGAUUGAGGUUUCUCACUUGAUAAUGAUCAAAACAUGAAAUUUAGGUUGGUUUAAAGGAAUAUUCCACCUUAAAUCUUUGAAUGUUGACCUAAAAGGUUGGUUUCAGGAAGUAUUCCACCUACAAGGUCCUCACGCAUCCACCUUAAAGGAACAUUCCACCAAAAAUCCUUGGACAUGCACCUAAAAUGUUGGUUUAACCGAGUAUUCCAUCCAAAAUCCUCAAAGAGACCUGAGGGGUUGGUUAAAAGGAAUAUUCCACCUAAAACCUCAAAUAUAGACCCGAAAGGAUGGUUUAUAAAAAAAUCCUUCAAUGUAGACCAAAAAAGUCAGUAUGGAGGAAUAUUCCACCUGAAAUGUAGACCUGAGAAGUUGGUUUGGAAGAAUAUACCUUCCUAAACAUCCUUAAAUGUAGACUAAAAGACGGUUUGGAAGAAAAUUCCACCUAAAAUCCUCCAAUGUAGACCUAAAAGGUGAGUUUAAUGGUAUAUUCCACCUAAAAUUCACUACUGUAGACCUUGGAGGUUGGUCUGAUGGUAUAUUCCACCCAACAUCCUUGAACAUAAACUUAAAAAGUUUGUUCAAAGGAAUAUUUCACCUAAAAUCCUUCAGUGUAGACCAAAAGAAUCUUGGUGUAAAGGAGUAUUCCACCUUAAAUGUAGACCUAAAGGAUGGUUUGGAGUAAUAUUAUAAUCUAAAAUCUUCCAAUGUAGACCUAAAAGGUUGAUCUGAUGGUAUAUUCUACCCAACAUCCUGGAACAUUUACCUAAAAGGUUGGUUUAAUGGUAUAUUCCCAGAAGAACCCUUGAACAUUGGGCUUAAUGGUAUAUUCCACCCAAAAUACUUCUACAUAUACCAAGAAGUCAGUGUAAAGGAAAUGUAGACCUAAAAGGAUUGUUUAAAGGAAUAUUUAAACUAUUAUUUUCAUGAUUUAAUAAUCUGUUAUCAGUCAGAACCCUGGCAAACUUAUUUUCAUCAGUUUUUUUAGUGGAAGUCACAAAUAAAGGAGCUCUUGGUUUUUCCCGGCGUUACUGAGUCCAAAGCUGCUGUUUCAACACAGAACGUUCACAUGCAUCCACAAACCUCUCAGCACUCAAACACCCACAGACAGGCAGCCGGCUGGGCUGAGGCUCAGCGGCGUCCUCAGACUCACGAGUCGGGGAGUCCCUGAACUUGUUGGUCCGGUUUGAAGGCCUCCGUGUGGUCCAGUAGAAGUCCACGUAGUCGGUGUUGGCUUUGAACCGCAGCGACUGGUCUCCAUCAGGUGGACCGGCUCGUCCUCGUAGGGCUCCUCCUGUAGCCUUGAGGGGACCACAGGAACAUUCAGUAGCUGUUGGAGUUCUUCCUGUCAGGCUCGUGGUAGAACGGCUCUGAAGAAUCUUGUACUUGUCUUAUCUGGAACAAUCUAACAGCCUAAACUGUUAACAGCAGCGUAAAGAAGCAAACACUCAGGCAUAGAUUAGGACUCAAACUAGAUUUAUUUCAGAAAACAAAUCAGCUUAGAGGCAUUUGUUCACACGUGGCUGAAUAGGAGGCCGUCCAAUCAGAUUUGAGGUCUUCACUCUGUAGGUUGUUUGUUUGGUGAGACUCUUGGAUCUCCAUCAGCUGACGUGGAUGUUUGAUGGUCUUCUUCUCUUGUGCCAGAUGAUUCAUCCAUGAAUUCAGCAGCUACAGACUGAAAUGAAGCUCAUGCUGCCGUUACUGAAUUCCUGUUCCAGAUCAAAUGUUCAGAGCUCACCUUGAAUGCAGCAGUCUGCUGUCUGAUAGUUUUUCUCAUUGUAGUCUUCAAUAAAGUCUUUUUCCUCAUGUCA